UCCUUACAUACGAUGUGCAUCUGGUCUUGGGGUGUUCGAGUUGGCCAUCGCCAAUCUUAAUUUACCAUUCCAUUUUUAGUUCAUAAGUUUAUAUAAUUUUAGUUUACAAAAAAUGUGGGAAAAAAGGUUUAUCUGUGCCUGAGGCAAUUUACUACUGUUUGUGUGCCAUAGUGAGAAGGAAUAUUGACAGUGAAGAUGACGACGAUGAUGAUGAUGAAGAUGAUGAUGAUGAGGAGGAGGAUGAUGAUGAUGGAACUACUAAUCCCUAGGUGGAAACGUCCAGAGUGAGAAAGGCUUGGAAUUUCAGUCUAUGUUGGGAAUCUGAAGUGGACAAAGGGGAAAGGGCUCCCAGGUUCACAUCUAUGAGCACCUCUGAAUGCCCCGCAGCGUUUGCAUUUGGAAUGGGUGCAAGAAAUGCUUGCAUCAUUAGUGCAUGUCAGAUGGAUCCUGCUGUCUGCAGGAGGCAGGUAGAACGUGACCCCAAAUCCUGUGCUGG
rnacentral:lncRNA from 1 species